UCCAGACUCCUACGGGAGGCAGCAGUGGGGAAUAUUGCACAAUGGGGGAAACCCUGAUGCAGCGACGCCGCGUGAGUGAAGAAGUAUUUCGGUAUGUAAAGCUCUAUCAGCAGGGAAGAAAAUGACGGUACCUGACUAAGAAGCCCCGGCUAACUACGUGCCAGCAGCCGCGGUAAUACGUAGGGGGCAAGCGUUAUCCGGAUUUACUGGGUGUAAAGGGAGCGUAGACGGCAUGGCAAGUCAGAUGUGAAAGCCCGGGGCUCAACCCCGGGACUGCAUUUGAAACUGUAGUUCUUGAGUACUGGAGAGGCAGACGGAAUUCCUAGUGUAGCGGUGAAAUGCGUAGAUAUUAGGAGGAACACCAGUGGCGAAGGCGGUCUGCUGGACAGCAACUGACGCUGAGGCGCGAAAGCGUGGGGAGCAAACAGGAUUAGAUACCCCAGUA
rnacentral:rRNA from 1 species